AGUGCGAUAAGGGGACUCCGAGUGCGAGGGCAUAUAGUCCUCGCUUUUCUGUACCGUAAGGUGGUACAGGAACAAGGGCUGGGCAAGACCGGUGCCAGCCGCCGCGGUAAUACCGGCAGCHCGAGUGAUGGCCGAUAUUAUUGGGCCUAAAGCGUCCGUAGCCGGCCGGACAAGUCCGUUGGGAAAUCCACGCGCUUAACGNGUGGGCGUCCAGCGGAAACUGUUUGGCUUGGGRCCGGAAGACCCGAGGGGUACGUCCGGGGUAGGAGUGAAAUCCCGUAAUCCUGGACGGACCACCGGUGGCGAAAGCGCCUCGGGAAGACGGAUCCGACGGUGAGGGACGAAAGCUAGGGUCUCGAACCGGAUUAGAUACCCGGGUAGUCCUAGCYGUAAACGAUGCUCGCUAGGUGUGGCGCAGGCUACGAGCCUGYGCUGUGCCGUAGGGAAGCCGWGAAGCGAGCCGCCUGGGAAG
rnacentral:rRNA from 1 species